rnacentral:rRNA from 1 species
GACGAACGCUGGCGGCGUGCCUAAUACAUGCAAGUUGAGCGCUGAAGGUUGGUACUUGUACCAACUGGAUGAGCAGCGAACGGGUGAGUAACGCGUGGGGAAUCUGCCUUUGAGCGGGGGACAACAUUUGGAAACGAAUGCUAAUACCGCAUAAAAACUUUAAACACAAGUUUUAAGUUUGAAAGAUGCAAUUGCAUCACUCAAAGAUGAUCCCGCGUUGUAUUAGCUAGUUGGUGAGGUAAAGGCUCACCAAGGCGAUGAUACAUAGCCGACCUGAGAGGGUGAUCGGCCUCAUUGGGACUGAGACACGGCCCAAACUCCUACGGGAGGCAGCAGUAGGGAAUCUUCGGCAAUGGACGAAAGUCUGACCGAGCAACGCCGCGUGAGUGAAGAAGGUUUUCGGAUCGUAAAACUCUGUUGGUAGAGAAGAACGUUGGUGAGAGUGGAAAGCUCAUCAAGUGACGGUAACUACCCAGAAAGGGACGGCUAACUACGUG